rnacentral:rRNA from 1 species
UACAGAGGUCCCAAGCGUUGUUCGGAAUCACUGGGCGUAAAGCGCGCGUAGGCGGCCAAUCAAGUCAGGGGUGAAAUCCUUGGGCUCAACCCAAGAAUUGCCUUUGAAACUGGUUGGCUUGAGUACUGGAGGGGAUAGCGGAAUUCCUAAUGUAGCGGUGAAAUGCGUAGAUAUUAGGAGGAACACCGGUGGCGAAGGCGGCUAUCUGGACAGUAACUGACGCUGAGGCGCGAAAGCGUGGGGAUCAAACAGG